AAAUACAACAUUCAAGUUGAAUUUAAAUAUAUGCAUAUUCAUAUAUAUGCACUUUUUUUUUUUUUUUUUUUUUUUUUUUUUACACUUUAUAAAAGGUGACAACGAUUAUAAGUAGUAGUAUACAUGUACACAGUUAUAUACAUAUAGCACAUAUGCUAGUACGGCAUAAAUAAAUUUUUAUUUAACCACAAACUUGAUUUAGACAAAAACUCAGUUAAAUCUGUUGAGUUACUCACCUGCGGAAAUGGGGUUUUAUACGAAAAAACGAAUCUUUACAAAGAGAAAAACUUUUGACAAUAAUAAAAAAAAGAAAUAUGAUUCUGAAAUAGAAUCAGAUGAUAUAUUAACAUCAGCUGGAUCCGAAAAUGAUAGCAUAAAAGCUAUAAAUAAAAAUAAAAAAGUAAAUAAUAACAGAAAAAAUAAAUAUAAUGAUUAUGAUGAAGAAGGUCUAACUGAUGACGAUAAGGAAAUCCAAGGCGAGAGCAGUUGUAAAGACGAAAGCAGCUACGAAGACGAAAAUGUGUUUAACAAUCCAGAGGAACGAAAAAUGUAUUUAGCCAAAAAAUAUCUUAAAGAUAUAGGUAUAGAAAGCACAGAUGAUGAAGAAAAAAAUUCAGACAACUCAUCAGUGACAUACGAUAGUUCAGAUGAAAAUAUGAAAAACAAGAAAAUAUCAAAAGACAUGAUUUUUAAUGAAAAUGAUAAAAAAAAAGAAAAAAUAAGUAAAAUGCUAAUGGAUAAAGAAAAAAAAAUAUAUAAGAAAAAUCUUUUAGAUUUAGAGAAUCGAUUAAAAAUAUAUACUGAUGAAAAGAUAAAACAAAAUUACAUAAAUAAUAAACAAAAUGGUUUAAAAAAUAUGAACAAUUGUAUUGAAAAUAAAAAAAAUAUAAAAAUGGAUGAAAGUGUUUUAUUUUUUAAUGGUCAUAAAAGAACUGUUACUUGUGUUGCUUGUCCAGAUUAUAAUUUAUCAUUUUGUGACCAUUAUAAUUAUUUAUUUGAGAAAAAUGAGCAUGAUAGAAAUGAUGCUGGUAUAAACAUUGGUUCUUACUCAGGUGGAUAUUUUGGAAACGAUGAUGGUAGUAACUCAGGCGUUAUUUUUUACGGAAAUAAUUACACUGACAAUGCUGAUUAUACGAGUAGUAACACUCAUACCGAUAAUGCUUAUGCACGUAACAGUAAUUGUAAUUAUACCGCUAUGGAAAAUAUUUGUGAACCUAAAAAUUUUGAAAAUACAUCAAUAAGUACAGUAUAUACGGGAGGAAAAGAUGCUUGUAUAAUCGAGUGGGAUAUACAAGCAGCUAAAAAAAUACAUAUUUAUAAAGGUAAUGCAAAUUCAUUUAAAGAUAUAGGGAAUAAAGACGGAAUAUGUCAUUUUAAAAAUGUAAUGGAUAUAUAUUGUAAUAAAUUU
rnacentral:lncRNA from 1 species